CCGAACCCCGGAAGCUCCCUCGUUACUGGUCGCUGUCCGUUAGAGUGAUGUGUUGCCGCCGCCGCCGCCGCUGCUACUGCUGCUUGCGGUACGGCUGCGUUGGAGCUGGGGUUUAUCCUAAACAGGACAUCACAAUGUAUUAAGAAGACGUCCCCAACAAAUGAAAUGAGGAAUAUUAAGGUGGCACCCUAAAUGCCAGUCUACAUAUGUAUUUCAUCCUCAGUGAUGGUCCAGGGGGUAUACAUCAAAGUAUGCUCUUGUGAAGAGGAAACCUAUUAGGGCAGGAUGCAGUCUUCAAACCACCGACUGCGAGAUAUGGAGCAGCACCACCCGCUGCUGUCGGCAGGUGCAGAUGUCGAGACAGGGAGCCUGGCAGCCGGAGUGAUAGUUGGGAGUCCCCACGCGGGCCACACUGCAGGGAACCGCACCCUGUGGUUCAUUCAGGACAGCUGUGGUAUGGUGUGUGCAACCAUGACCUGGUUCCUGGUGCUGUACGCCGAAUUCGUGGUGAACUUUGUCAUGCUGCUGCCUGCCAAGAACUUUUGGUACUCGCUCCUGAACGGGGCCACCUUCAACUCCCUGGCUGUGCUUGCACUGGCCUCACAUCUGCGCACCAUGUUGACUGACCCGGGUGCAGUUCCUAAAGGCAACGCAACCAAGGAGUACAUGGAGAGCUUGCAGCUGAAGCCUGGUGAGGUCAUCUACAAGUGCCCAAAGUGCUGCAGUAUCAAGCCUGAGAGGGCACAUCACUGCAGUAUUUGUAAAAGAUGCAUCCGGAAGAUGGAUCAUCACUGUCCCUGGGUCAAUAACUGUGUGGGAGAAAAGAAUCAGAGAUUCUUUGUUCUUUUCACUAUGUACAUAGCCUUGAUCUCUGCCCAUGCCCUGGGUCUCAGUGGAAUGCACUUCUUCACCUGUAUUAAAGUCCAGUGGAAUGAGUGCAGUGACUUCUCUCCAGGGGUUUCUGUGCUGCUCCUGAUCUUCCUCUGUCUUGAAGCCAUCCUCUUCCUCACUUUCACAGCCGUAAUGUUUGGUACGCAGAUCCACUCCAUCUGUAAUGACGAGACGGAGAUUGAACGUCUUAAAAACGAGAAGCCCACAUGGGAGCGUCGCGUGAGGUGGGACGGAAUGAAAGCUGUGUUUGGCGGUCCACCUUCUCUGCUGUGGUGCAAUCCAUUCACAGGCCUGCGUCUGCGGCGCCUGUUGCUGUUGACUCAUGGUCGCCGCAGCGGGUCUGAGUUUUCUGUCUGAGAGCAGGGUAGACUGAUGCAGCUCACCAACACUUGACCUUCUCCAAAGCAAGAUUUCUUGUAUGCCCUCCUUGGCAGGGGCUAAGAUGGACCCCUGCUCCCUGAGCCUGUCUUUCAUGUGUGGGUGACAGGGAGACUGGCUGCUCCAGUGGGACCCCAGAGCAUCAAUCAACCCCCACUGAAAGGGGAGAUCAGCAACAUAUCUUUAAUCAUCACUGGACACGCACAAGUGAAUCUGAAUGGGGAAAUGCUUGAAACUAUUCUGUUGGACCCAGAUGAGGAAAUCAAAGUCAAGGACAUGCACUACUCACAUGCCACUUGAGAAAAAGCCUGGAAAGGGAGCGCAGUGGACAUCAGAAAAGAACUGUGCUGCUUUGAUAUGCACGUAUGACAGUUCAAUCACUCAUCAUCUCGGCCAGAAAAUUAGGCUUUCACUAUCCUCAAACGAAUGAACAGGCUACUGUGAACACAAGCCUAAUUCUUAUUCAGGAGGAUUGAGUGGCUCUUCCUACCUGUUCAUCUCCUUUGUCAUGUUUUUCCUGCCUUGGGCUGAAAUUGUUCAUUCUUUAAGUUACUCAACCCAGUAAAAGUUAAUUUUCCCUUUUCUAAAAAACUGCUGAAGCCUAUUUAAUUUUCAUCUCAGUGACCACUCCUAAACAGUUGACCAUAAUGACUCACUGGAGGUGACUAGUUAUUCUGAAUCUUCUUCCGGGAGAGGGGGGAAUCACAGUUAAUACACAUGUAUGUGUUCAUUACUAUGCCAUUCCACCACUCCUACAUGCUGCUCCACAUCUCGUUCUCUAAAACCGAUGGGUGACCCACAGACCGCUGAUAAGCCUCCCUUGUUUUCAUAAUGAAGGGAUUCAGGUUGAGCAACUUGGGCUGCUGAAAAGAUCGAAUGUUAUUAAGUUUGAAUCGUUUUUCUCAUAGUUUUUCUCUCUGUGAAAAACUGGAGGCUACUUCUGUGUAUAGUAGGAAUCCAUAUGCAAGAACAGUUGGAUAAGACUUCAUAGCAUUUAAACCCUGGAAAAUAACCUUACAAAUCCCCCAAGACUGAGCCAGGUUUUAGACAUGGUGGCUUUGCAUGCAACCUGGCCACUGAGUGGUGCAACAUUUUGAAAAGGAGAAUUUAAAAUACUAGUACGGCCUCCUCUGGCUCGUUGUGAGCGAGCUCUACAGAGCCAAGCUCCAUUGUGCAGCCAGCCUGUAGAAAUAUAAAGGAAACGCUUUGCUGAAAGAGGCUGAGGUACCAGGCUCAUUAUACAAGCUUUAAUACUGAACAAAGUCUCGGGGAACUCAGCAGAUGCUUGCAAGGCCUUUCCUACUUCACUCCAGAAAUUUCAGGCAUCUAGUGGCAGGACAGAUACUUUCCCAGUGUUAUUAGACCACUUAUCCAUGCCUUUAAAGUAAUUCAGUCAAGUGAAUUUAUCAGCUUGAAAGAUUUUGUCAUUGCCAUAUUUAUGAGUGUUUUCUCACUUUGUGACAAUUAUGUCUCUUAUUUUUACUCUUCAUAAGUAAUGAACCUGUUUGCGCUGGAUGAAUGUGGCUUUUUGAAUCUAGAGUUCAAGAUUUAAAGUAAAAUCCUGACAGAUAGGCUGGUAUAGUCAAAGCGUUUUCAAAUCUAGAUUCUCAAAGUCUCAUUUCUGUGGCGUGUUGGGCAAUAUACUGCUGUUUGUUCUCAUCUGUGGUUGUCAGGAGAAGGAACUCUGUCUCCACUGUUUACACUAAAUUAUGAUAUCUGACGCUCUAUGGUUAUGAUCUUUGAAGACACAUGCUGUCAUUAGAAUGUAAAACUUAUCUAUUUUGGGACUAAGGGACACAGCACUGAAAGCUAACGGAUAUCAGGGGAUUUUAUUAAUGCUGGCCUUUUAUUUCUCAUUUUAUUCUGCUAGACUGCAUCAACUCAGCAACAGUUUUCUGGUUAAAUGUUUGGAGAAUAUCACUUUUUUAUUCAAACAAUGUCAUUCCUUUUUCUGUAUUCAGCACGAUUCAUUCGGCAAGUCCCUUAUCCCCACAUGCUCAGUGUACUUUUUAAUGUAUGAUUAGCGAAGUGAAAACAAUUCAAGUUAAGCCAACCACAUGGCAUGUCCAUAAAAAUCAUAGGCAUAAGACAGAUUGUAUUGUAUUUUAAGACCUCUCAGAAAACAACUGGGAAAUUCAGACUGUUUAGUUUUGCAGAUGCACAUAUCUUGCUAAUCAAGCAACAGCUGUUAUUAAAAAAAAGAGUUGCAGGUAUUAGGGGUAAAAUUACAUCUAGAGCCAGCGAGAGGCCUACAGUCCAAUAAACACAAAAAUGCCAUUAGAAUGGCAAUAAAUACAGACUAAUACACUGAUAAACUUUAAGAUGAUAUUUGUAGAAAGUAGCAGAACAUCAGACCUAAUUAUAGAUUGACAAAUAUUAUGUGUUUACUUGGUAUAAAUAUUUGACCAAAUUUGGUUGAUGUAUACAACUAAUUAACUAUGGGAUAGUCCUGUUUCAUGACCAAUCUCAGAUGCUGUAAUCAUACUUUCUUAGAUGAGGAUUCUGUUACAGGGUAUGUAGUUUUACACUCACCAGUAGAAUCAUUGAAUGAUGAUUUUUAAAGGGUUAUGAAGGAAAAUGUAUUUUGGGCGUCCUCCACUUUCUACCGUAUGACAAAGAAAAACAACAAUCAACAUGGGGAGAGAAUUGUAUGAUGUGCGAAACUGUGUAAACCAGUACAACACAAUUCUGUCUAAGGUUUUUCCUCACACCACUUGGGUAUUUGUGCAGAAAAUCUAAGAUAAAGAGCAUUCUUGUGAUGUAUAGUGAUGAUUCUUAUCAGGCCGGAUGUUUAAUCACAGAUUUAACAUUGCCAUGAAAACUUGAGAGAGGUUUUAUUUCCUGCUUUCCAACGUUUCUUCAAGAACAAAUCCUUCAGCUUUAUAAAACAAAGUAUAAAGGUUACUAUUAACAGUAUAUAAAUGGAAUGUUUUAUUCGAGCUUUUUUUAAUUAAUGUGUCAUAAUCUUAUAAUGUCUUCUAUCUUU